rnacentral:rRNA from 1 species
UCCAGACUCCUACGGGAGGCAGCAGUGGGGGAUAUUGCACAAUGGGGGAAACCCUGAUGCAGCGACGCCGCGUGGGUGAAGAAGCGCCUCGGCGCGUAAAGCCCUGUCAGCAGGGAAGAAAAUGACGGUACCUGAAGAAGAAGCCCCGGCUAACUACGUGCCAGCAGCCGCGGUAAUACGUAUGGUGCAAGCGUUAUCCGGAUUUACUGGGUGUAAAGGGAGCGCAGGCGGUACGGCAAGUCUGAUGUGAAAGCCCGGGGCUCAACCCCGGUACUGCAUUGGAAACUGUCGGACUAGAGUGUCGGAGGGGUAAGUGGAAUUCCUAGUGUAGCGGUGAAAUGCGUAGAUAUUAGGAGGAACACCAGUGGCGAAGGCGGCUUACUGGACGAUUACUGACGCUGAGGCUCGAAAGCGUGGGGAGCAAACAGGAUUAGAUACCCUAGUACCG